rnacentral:lncRNA from 1 species
UUCGGCCCACCUCCAACCAUUAAUAAAUUCCGCACUGCCGCCGUUUGGCCCCUCCGCCGUCUCGCAUCACCGCCGCCCUCGUUCAAAUUUCUCUCCUCCGCAACACCUUACCUCUGACCCCUUCAACUUUGUUGCGUCUGCCAUGGAUGUCACCUCCAUGGCAACGCACUCCCCCUUCCAUCGCCGGCUACUCCGAGCGGCGACCCUACCUCACUGGAGAUCUCUCCGCCGCCGAUUAAUAGAUUCGCCGCCUUCGUCUAUGUAUAUUUCUUUUCGUUGUUUGUUUACAUCCACCAUUUUCAAUGUGGUUGUAGGUGGCGGAUUUGGAGAAGAAGGUUGUGGUGGUGCAGGAGUAAGGACAAGAGGCGUG